AAAGAUUCAGUUAUGCAUGUCUAAGCACAUGCCUUAAUACGGUGAAGCCGCGAAUAGCUCAUUACAACAGCCACCGUUUACUAGAAUAUAGUUAUCCUACUUGGAUAACUGUGGCAAUUCUAGAGCUAAUACAUGCAAAAAAGCUCUGACCGCAAGGAACGAGCGCAUUUAUUAGAAUAAAAACCAAUCGGGUUUCGGCCCGUAAUUUGGUGAAUCUGAAUAACUUUGCCAAUCGCACAGUCCUAGUACUGGCGAUGUAUCUUUCAAGUGUCUGCCUUAUCAACUUUCGAUGGUAGGUUAUACGCCUACCAUGGUAGUAACGGGUAACGGAGAAUAAGGGUUCGACUCCGGAGAGGGAGCCUGAGAAACGGCUACCACAUCCAAGGAAGGCAGCAGGCGCGCAAAUUACCCACUUCCAGAACGGAGAGGUAGUGACGAAAAAUAACGGGACAGUCCUCUUCGAGGUCUGUCAUCGGAAUGGGUACAAUUUAAAUCCUUUAACGAGGAUCUAUUGGAGGGCAAGUCUGGUGCCAGCAGCCGCGGUAAUUCCAGCUCCAAUAGCGUAUAUUAAAGUUGUUGCGGUUAAAACGCUCGUAGUUGGAUCUGCGGCCUCGGAGAACGGUCCCCCGAAAGGGUGGUCACUGUCUCUCCUAGCCUAAAUUCGAGUCGUCUCUAGGUGCUCUUUACCGAGUGCCUAGAGUGACUAGAACGUUUACUUCGAAAAAAUUAGAGUGCUUAAAGCAGGCGAAAUAGCCUGAAUAAGGUGCAUGGAAUAAUGGAAUAGGACCUCGGUUCUAUUUUGUUGGUUUUCGGAACCCGAGGUAAUGAUUAAGAGGAACAGACGGGGGCAUUCGUAUUCCGGCGCUAGAGGUGAAAUUCUUGGACCGCCGGAAGACGGACAACUGCGAAAGCAUUUGCCAAGAAUG
rnacentral:rRNA from 1 species